UUUAACUGAAGAGUUUGAUCAUGGCUCAGAUUGAACGCUGGCGGCAGGCUUAACACAUGCAAGUCGAGCGGGGGAAGGUAGCUUGCUACUGGACCUAGCGGCGGACGGGUGAGUAAUGCUUAGGAAUCUGCCUAUUAGUGGGGGACAACAUCUCGAAAGGGAU
rnacentral:rRNA from 1 species